rnacentral:rRNA from 1 species
GAUGAACGCUGGCGGCGUGCUUAACACAUGCAAGUCGAACGGAAAGGCCGAAGCUUGCUUCGGUACUCGAGUGGCGAACGGGUGAGUAACACGUGGGUGAUCUGCCCUGUACUUCGGGAUAAGCUUGGGAAACUGGGUCUAAUACCGGAUAUGACGAUCUCUUGGAUGGGGUUGUGGAAAGCUUUUGCGGUAUGGGAUGAGCUCGCGGCCUAUCAGCUUGUUGGUGGGGUAAUGGCCUACCAAGGCGUCGACGGGUAGCCGGCCUGAGAGGGUGUACGGCCACAUUGGGACUGAGAUACGGCCCAGACUCCUACGGGAGGCAGUAGUGGGGAAUAUUGCACAAUGGGCGCCAGCCUGAUGCAGCGACGCCGCGUGGGGAUGACGGCCUUCGGGUUGUAAACUCCUUUCGCAAUCGACGAAGCCUUUUGGUGACGGUAGGUUGAGAAGAAGCACCGGCUAACUACGUG